GCGGGGCCGUGCAGGGGCGGGGCCACGCAGCCUGGCCUGCCCCUGUGCCAUGCGGCCCCGCCCCCGUGGCCCCGCCCCUACUCGAGGCCAGGGCUGCAAAUGAGGCCUGUUUGAAGGGAAGGCCGCAAGCACCGCCGGCCCUUUCCCCUUGCCUUCUGCCUGGAGGGAAGAGGGCAGCCCUGGGCUCAAUGGCUGCCGGGCCAAGAGAACCAGGGCCCUGGACUCAUCGGAUCCAUUUACUGCUGAAACGAAAAAGCAGAACAAGGUUGCCUGAACAUGAAAGCUUGGGUGACAUCUGGAGUCAGGAAAUCAGUGACACCUGUAUGUUUUUUUACAUCCAUGACCACCAAACUGUGAGACACCUACUGUUGCUCAGCAACCAUGGCCCUUCUCUCAGAUUAAUUCACAUCACUUGGCAAACGACAAGGACUAUCUGGAAUAACAAGCCUGGAAAACCAUAAGUAACCCUGCUUCUGCAUAUAGACUAAGUCCCCCAUUGAAUCAAGGGACUCAGAACGGAUUACAGAAUACACAUACAAGGCAAACAUUUAAUCCCUAUUACACAGUGAAGCAACGACAUAUGAUACACAGACAAAGGUAAAGGUCUUCCCCCUUUUUUCAUCUCUGACGCCUGGAGGUGAUACUCAACUCUGGCCAUGAGGAGGUGCUCUUCUUCCAUUUUUCCAUGCUGAGGAGCCUGUUGUCCAUAGACCUAUUGAUCUACUCACAUUGCAUGCUUUCAAACUGCUAGGUUGGCAGAAGCUAGGGCUGACAGUCAGGAGCUCACCCCGACUCACAGCUUUGAACUGCCAACCUUCCAGUCAGUAGAUUUCAUGCAGCUAGCAGUUUAACCCACUGCACUACUGCGGCCUCUUUUUGAACCAAAAUACUGACUCAUAAACUAAAUAAAAAAGCUGAAGCCCAUUUCAUUUCAGUGUUUGAAAUUUCUGUUUGAAAACACUCUAGCAUUUAUCUGUUUAUCUGGUUUUGAACUGGUGUCUGCUUGCCGGUGCCACAGGAAUUUAAUCCUCUCCCAUCUUCCUUCUUUAUUACUCCAAAGCUUACUCCAGAAAGCUUCCCAGCCUACUUUUGUUUAUGGAAGCCUUUCUUUUGGUGGAACAACCUGAAUGGAUCCUGGAUCCACUCUUGAAAAUGCUGUUUUUGUGGGAGCCCUGAAACUCUAAUUCAUUAUACUGCCAUUCUUCUUGUUUUCAUAUUCUUGAAUGUGAAGAAAGGGGUUUGUGACUGUUAAUAAAUCAAAGAGCUUAAUGCCUGAAAUGCAUAUUUGAUUUAUGCCCUAGCUUUUUUGACAACUCAGUAUACACAAAUGUUAAUAUUACAUUGUGCGCCAACAGCACAGCAAUAGCCAUAACCCAAGUGGGAAGACGCAUCAUGUACCUUUCUCAUCUGAAAAAAUGCAAACGUGAUCUGAUCUUUUCACCUCUGGUUGUGUAAUUAAACAAAACAUAAAUAAUUGAAUUCUUCCAGAAGGAUCAAUGAAAGCUACCCUUCACCACAUCUAAUGAUCUGCUGUGUUCUCAUAGCUAUCUCUUGAUUAAAGAAAUUGUGUAAUAAAUUAUUAUGAUAUUAGAUGCAAGGUUGAAAUACUUUGGCCACAUCAUGAGAAGACAGGAAAGCUUGGAGAAGAGAAUGAUGCUGGGGAAAUGGGAAGGAAAAAGGAAGAGGGGCCGACCAAGGGCAAGAUGAAUGGCUGUUAUCAUUGAAGUGACUGGCUUGACCUUGAAGGAGCUGGGGGUGGCCAUGACCUACAGCUGUGGCGUGGGCUGGUCCAUGAGGUCACGGAGUUGGAAGCAACUGAACAAAUAAACAACAGACUUACUAUGUUCUACUUCCCUGAUCCAGCAGAAUUUUAAAGCAAAAUGUUAUUAUUGUAGUGCUGGGGAUCAAAAGUAAUGCAUACAAAGAGUUACUCAGUUGUGGAGUUCCUCCAUAUAUUGAUUAUAAAGAAUUUAGAGUUGAGCUUUUGCCUUUGUUAAGAUAUUCCGUAACAAGAUACAACCCCCACGGACUGUGCAUCGAGAAUAUGCCAAACAAAUAUCUCUUCCAUAAUUAAUCGAAGAUCUUUUGUUGUCAAAUCUUAUCCAAUGAAAAGUGAGCUCGUAAUUUGGAUUUCUCUCUGAACAUGAAAAUAAAAUAGUUCAUUGAGCCAUGUCCAAAUGUUCUAGCAAUUAUUUAAUACAGCUCUAAUUCAAUCGGUCACUUGAUUUUGGACCAUACAUUCAAGAAUGAGAAAUAUUCUCAGAAGCCUUUAGGACCAUCCGUUUCCCCAUCCCUUUGGUCAGCAUGAGGAUAAAACUGGCCGUACAAUGUCCUUGAAAAACUAAUAAAAUGCACUUAUAAAACUCAUGAAUAUUCAUACCUGCUGAACUGCUGCCUAUAAAACUAUGUUGUACCCCCUUUCAUGAUUGUUUCCAAUUAGUACAACUUAGCUUCACUAGCAUGGAAUAAAAUCUUUUUAUUCAGACAGGCUUUUAAAGAAGGAGGUUUUUAAGAACCAGUCGGUGGGUGCUGUGGUUUUAGUUAUGAGUAUGUUUUUAAUAGGUUUUUAGGGUUUAAACUGUUUAUUUUUUUAAUCAUAUUAAUAUUUCAUUCUACCUUAAUGUUUGUAUAUUUUUAGGUUUUAAAUUGUAUUGCAUUGGUAAAAACCAGCCUUAUUUCUAAACUGAAGAAGUGGGUUAUAAAUAAUAACAAGUAGACAUUGCUAGUCCCUGUAUUAUCUUUUUCAAAUAUUCUUAACUAAUGUUGUAGCAAGUAGCAUUUGUGUUAUAAUAUUUUUGAGCUCAUGAACGUAUGUGUGUAAGUACAAUUUUAUGUUUGUAGCUUACUGUAUGAUUGUUACUAUUCAGGUGGUUAAAAUGUAAUGGCAAAAGAAAAGAGAACAUAAAAUAACAAUUAAAAAUACACAUCCAAAAUUAAAACAGAGCAAGAGAGAAGAUAGUGAGGACAAGUUCAGACAAAAAAGCACACUGCCAUGUCCAUGGAAUUCACUUUCAGAUGUCCUCCUGUGUCUUAACAAUUCAGAAUAAAAUGUAUGAAACCCCUUAAUAAUCUCAGUAGGGGAGUUUUAUGUGGUGCUACCAGAUAGCUUUCUUUUCUGCUUUUCUUUUCAUUGCUCUACUAAAUAAGCAGUACAUUUUUUUUUUACUAUUUUCAUAAUAAUAUUAAAAGGUAAAGGUUUCCCCCUGACAUUAAGUCUAGUUGUGUUCGACUCUGGGGGUUGGUGCUCACCUCCAUUUCUAAGCCGAAAAGCCAGCGUUGUCCAUAGACACCUCCAAGGUCAUGUGGCUGGCAUGACUGCAUGGAGCCCGUUACUUUCCCACUGGAGCGGUACCUAUUGAUCUACUCAUACAGUAGAGUCUCACUUAUCCAACACUCACUUAUCCAACGUUCUGGAUUAUCCAACACAUUUUUGUAGUCAAUGUUUUCAAUACAUCGUGAUAUUUUGGUGCGAAAUUUGUAAAUACAGUAAUUACUACAUAGCAUUACUGCCUAUUGAACUACGUUUUCUGUCAAAUUUGUUGUAUAACAUGAUGUUUUGGUGCUUAAUUUGUAAAAUCAUAACCUAAUUUGAUGUUUAAUAGGCUUUUCCUUAAUGCCUCCUUAUUAUCCAACAUAUUUGCUUAUCCAACAUUUUGCUGGCCCAUUU
rnacentral:lncRNA from 1 species